UACGUAGGCAGCAAGCGUUUGUUCGGAGUUACUGGGCGUAAAGGGUGUGUAGGCGGUUCUCUAAGUCUGGUGUGAAAUCUCCCGGCUCAACUGGGAGGGUGCGCCGAAAACUGGAGGACUAGAGUGCGGGAUGGGAGAGUGGAAUUCCUGGUGUAGCGGUGAAAUGCGUAGAUAUCAGGAGGAACACCUGUGGUGUAGACGGCUCUCUGGACCGCAAUUGACGCUGAGACACGAAAGCGUGGGUAGCAAACAGG
rnacentral:rRNA from 1 species